rnacentral:rRNA from 1 species
GACGAACGCUGGCGGCGCGCCUCAUACAUGCAAGUCGAGCGAGAACCAGGGCUUGCCCUGGGGAGAGCGGCGAACGGGUGCGUAUCACGUGAGCAACCUGCCCCGAAGACCGGGAUAACUCGAGGAAACUCGGGCUAAUACCGGAUGUCCUCGGUGGACCGCAUGGUCCGGCGAGGAAAUGGAUUCCGCUUCGGGAUGGGCUCGCGGCCUAUCAGCUUGUUGGUGGGGUAACGGCCUACCAAGGCGACGACGGGUAGCUGGUCUGAGAGGACGAUCAGCCACACUGGGACUGAGACACGGCCCAGACUCCUACGGGAGGCAGCAGUAGGGAAUCUUGCGCAAUGGGCGAAAGCCUGACGCAGCGACGCCGCGUGCGGGAUGAAGGCCUUCGGGUCGUAAACCGCUUUCAGCAGGGACGAAAUUGACGGUACCUGCAGAAGAAGGCCCGGCCAACUACGUGCCAGCCGCCGCGGUAA